rnacentral:lncRNA from 1 species
AUCCAGGAUAUUUUAAAAAAAAUAAAAUUAAAAACUAAAGAAGCAGAGUCAGCUUGCUCCCCACUGAACCCCAAGGCUGGGGAAUGUUACUGCUUUAGGAUGCAACACAGUCCCACAGCAUUCCCACAGUGCAGCCCUGGCCCAGCCCUGCAGGAGAUGGGACCUGCACCUCUCCCACUGCUUACACUGAGGUGUCCAUCACCAGCAGGAGAUGGAGGCAGCUCCAGGACCCAAUCCUGCACCACACACUUCUGCUUCAGGCUCCUGAGGUGCAGGUAGGAAUAAAACUGCUUUUUUUCCCCCAGAAAAGGCUCCUUCCUCCCCUCAGAUGGCAUGGUCUGUUUGGCACCCCCACAUCCCCUCCCAGCCAGGACCAGGCUGGCUCCUGGAAGGGGCAGAGACCAGAACAGCCAAAGCCAGGCAGGCUGGGCAUCUGGAGAGAGAGGGGCAGGGUGUUCUCAUAGAGCCCCACAUGGAAAAGCUCCCCUAUCCCUGUCCCCACACCAUUUUCAAUGCAGAAGCUGCAGACACACGCAGCUGCAUCCCAAACCCCUCCAUGUAAUUACAGAUCCUCGGUUUCUUCUGGGCUUCCACUUAUUUAAUCGUCCUUUCUCAUCUGCCUCUAAUACCCUGAGCUCUGUCAGAGGGCAGAAACACAGCCUUUACAUCCAGAAGGACAAGAGUUCCCUGCAACAGCUGCUAUAUUUAACAGAAAAAAUACACUGGGUUGCCAUGGCAACCCUGGCUUCUAAAAAUAGACCUGCCAUAUCCAGCACAGCCGAGAGCACAGGCAGUGCUGACGGAAGCUGCUUUCCCCGAGUGCUGGGGAAUGGAAGUAAACUUUUAUUCCUCGCUGGAAUCGUCACGGAGCAAACUCUGAAAAAAAAAACCACAACCCAAAAAUCACACGAGCCUUUGCUAAUUAAAGCCUUGUUGGAAGGAUCCCCACUUCCCUUGGCUCAGGGACUGAUCCCUGAACUGCAGCUCCUGGCAUCAAAAGGGUGCUUUGGAAACGGGGGGCAGGGCUGGAGCCAGCUGGGUGAAGAUGGAGGGAUGGUGCUGGAUGUGGUUGGUUUUCCUGCUGGCACUGACACAGUGAGGCUCACAGUGCCCAAGUGCCCACGGCUCUGGCAGCAGGGUCACCCCAGCCAGCAGAGCUGCCGGGGUAAGACUGGCUUUGGGCACCCUCAGGGGGCACCCAGCCUUGCCUGGAGUGCUUCAAAUGACCUGCAGAGAGCUGUGAUGGGGGAUGCACAGCUUUCCAAAUGGCCUUUUCACCCCGUUCCACCAACAAAACCAGUCCUCUGGGCAUUGAAUCAGGAGCGUCCUCCUUCCCCACUGGAACACAGACCCUGUCACCAAAACACACCCCGAGCUCCCUACAGCAAGAGCAGCUGAGCAUCCCCCAAAAUCUGACUAGCAAGGCUGAGUAGUCACAGCCUGCCUGGGAACAGCAGUUGCUUCCCAUUGCACUCCAAGCCUCCAGCCAUCUCCCUAAUUCUCCUUGGCAUUUCUCGCCGAGUGGAGGGCAUGCUCCUGACAGACCGCAGCCCCCCGGCGCUGCUGACCAGCCCCGAUCCCGGCUGGGAGGGUGGCAGUG